AAAGAAUUUGCCAAGCAAGAAUUACAGCUAGGAAGCUUUCCAACAAUACUUUUCUUUCCCAAACACUCCUCUCGGCCUAUUAAAUACCCCUCAGAGAAGAGGGAUGUAGAGUCCUUGAUGAGGUUUGUUAAUGCUCUCCGGUGAUGGUGGAAAUCGAAGGUAAUUUGAUAGAUGGAUUGUUGAAUCAUUUGAACACUGAAGUCCAAGGUUGUCUUUGAUCCUUGCAAAUUCAUCAUAUCUAGCGAUCAGGAUGUCAACUCCCAGGCACAAAUGGAAUAAUGGGGGAGGCAGCGGGCCUCAACCUUAAGCAUAACUUAAUGGUUUGCUUGUUCCAGCACUAGGAGCCUUGGGAACUCAGAUCUCUCCUCCCUUUCCCCGCUUUUCCUUCCCUGCAAAUUGUGUGAGAGUCAGUUUUAGGCCAGAGUUUUGAAUGUUUUAGUCUCUAGAGUUUGUCGAGUCAUCUGUAUGUAGAAGGAGAAGUAGAGCUAUUGGAUCCAAUUAUUUUUGGUACAUCGUAAUCUGAAUUUUCAGCCCACUGUUGUAAGGGGAGAUGGGAAUUGCCAUUGUUAAGUACAGAAUUUUUGAUGCU
rnacentral:misc_RNA from 1 species